rnacentral:rRNA from 1 species
AGAGUUUGAUCAUGGCUCAGAUUGAACGCUGGCGGCAUGCGUAACACAUGCAAGUCGAACGGUGUUUGGUGCUUGCACCAGACAUAGUGGCGGACGGGUGAGUAAUGCGUAGGAAUCUGUCUUAGAGAGGGGGACAACCCGAGGAAACUUGGGCUAAAACCGCAUAUUCUCGAGAGAGGAAAGCAGGGGACCGGAAACGGCCUUGUGCUCUAAGGUGAGCCUACGUCGGAUUAGCUAGUUGGUAGGGUAAAAGCCUACCAAGGGCGAUGAUCUGUAGCUGGUCUGAGAGGACGGACAGCCACACUGGGACUGAGACACGGCCCAGACUCCUACGGGAGGCAGCAGUGGGGAAUAUUGGACAAUGGGGGGAACCCUGAUCCAGCGAUGCCGCGUGUGUGAAGAAGGCCUGCGGGUUGUAAAGCACUUUCAGUGGGAAAGAGAAGCGUCUUGUGAAUAAUGGGACGUGGAGACGUUACUCACAGAAGAAGCACCGGCUAACUCUGUG